rnacentral:lncRNA from 1 species
UGCCUAGAAGAAUGUUAGACCUGUAAGUCCUGUAGUUCUGUGGCGUCACCAAGCAGCCCUCCCCCCUGCCAUUUACUUUCUCAAGAAUUUAGUACUUUUGACAUGGAGGCUUUAUCUCCUGCCCCCAUUGGCCUCAUUAGCAAGAGACUCCGGUAGGUUGGUUGGUUGGUGUUAGUUACCAUGUGUGGCCUUCCCGCCUUAGCACACACCUUGUAUUCAUCAGUAAAUUAUUUAUUGCUAAAAAUGUUCUCACGUUGCCCAGUAGAAAUUGAUGGUUGAGCCCUGUCUUGUGUGAUGGUUUUGACGGGAAUCAGUGCUUCUGGA